rnacentral:rRNA from 1 species
GUGCCAGCCGCCGCGGUAAGACGGAGGAGGCUAGCGUUGUUCGGAAUUACUGGGCGUAAAGCGCGCGCGGGCGGUUAUGCAAGUCAGGGGUGAAAGCCCGAGGCUCAACCUCGGAACGGCCUUUGCGACUGCAUGACUGGAGACCGGGAGAGGAGAGUGGAAUUCCCAGUGUAGAGGUGAAAUUCGUAGAUAUUGGGAAGAACACCAGUGGCGAAGGCGGCUCUCUGGCCCGGACCUGACGCUGAGGCGCGAAAGCGUGGGGAGCAAACAGGAUUAGAUACCCCUGUAGUCC